AGUCCCAUCAAGCAGAGAAGUAGACAGCUUCAGGGGAGGCAGGGGUGAGCAGAGCUGCCAAGAGCAAAAAGAAACCAUUCAUAUCACCUUAGAUACCACGGCUCUUCCUACUCCAGGUGCUUCCUGGAGAGGUAUAGAUGCAAAACUAUAGGAGUCUUUAGAAGAAGCAACCAGCCGGACUGUCUUGAAACGCGAUCAGAAAAAGCCAAGAAUAGAGAUGGGGUUGUUCAGGAAAAAUCUGUGAGGACCCUCUUUUCUGAAUGUGUGAAUCAAUGUGACAUACGUAGAAGACCCACAAGAUUUUUGAGAAUGUUCUACCAUCAGAAACACUUCCAACUGGGCCUAAAAGGGACAGAGACAGAAAAAAAUGAAAGAAGAUUGUGAGACUGCCAGAAUUCUACAGUGUAUGCAAUGGUAUGAGGAACUGUUCCACAUUAAAGGAGACUAAGAAGACAUAACAACUCGAUGCAAUGUGUGAUUCUGGACUGGAUCUUGCAUUGGAGGAGAAAAUGCUAUAAAAGGUAUCACUGAGACAGUUAACAUCAUUGGAACAUGGAUGGUUGAUUAGAUGGAAGUAUUACAUUAAUGAUACAUUUCCUGAAUUUGGUAACUUUGCUAUUGUUACCUACAAGAAUAAUCUUGCUCUUAGGAAACAGUAAU
rnacentral:lncRNA from 10 species